UGGGGAAUAUUGCACAAUGGGGGAAACCCUGAUGCAGCGACGCCGCGUGAACGAAGAAGGUAUUCGUAUCGUAAAGUUCUGUCCUAUGGGAAGAUAAUGACAGUACCAUAGAAGGAAGCUCCGGCUAAAUACGUGCCAGCAGCCGCGGUAAUACGUAUGGAGCGAGCGUUGUCCGGAAUUAUUGGGCGUAAAGGGUACGCAGGCGGUUUAAUAAGUCGAAUGUUAAAGAUCGGGGCUCAACCCCGCAAAGCAUUGGAAACUGAUAAACUUGAGUAGUGGAGAGGAAAGUGGAAUUCCUAGUGUAGUGGUGAAAUACGUAGAUAUUAGGAGGAAUACCAGUAGCGAAGGCGACUUUCUGGACACAAACUGACGCUGAGGUACGAAAGCGUGGGGAGCAAACAGG
rnacentral:rRNA from 1 species